UACGGGGGGGGCAAGCGUUGUUCGGAAUUACUGGGCGUAAAGGGCGCGUAGGCGGCCUCUUAAGUCGAACGUGAAAUCCCCGGGCUCAACCCGGGAACUGCGUCCGAUACUGGGGGGCUUGAAUCCGGGAGAGGGAUGUGGAAUUCCAGGUGUAGCGGUGAAAUUCGUAGAUAUCGGGAGGAACACCAGUGGCGAAGGCGGCGAUCUGGGAAGAUACUGACGCUGAGGUGCGAAAGCGUGGGGAGCAAACAGG
rnacentral:rRNA from 1 species